UACGGGGGGGGUAAGCGUUGUUCGGAAUUACUGGGCGUAAAGGGCUCGUAGGCGGCCAACUAAGUCAGACGUGAAAUCCCUCAGCUUAACUGGGGAACUGCGUCUGAUACUGGAUGGCUUGGAUUUGGGAGAGGGAUGCGGAAUUCCAGGUGUAGCGGUGAAAUGCGUAGAUAUCAGGAGGAACACCGGUGGCGAAGGCGGGUCUCUGGACAGUUCCUGACGCUGAGGCACGAAGGUCAGGGGAGCAAACGGG
rnacentral:rRNA from 1 species